GGUUGACCUCGGAUCGGGUAGGGAUACCCGC
rnacentral:rRNA from 1 species